AGUGAACGCUGGCGGUAGGCCUAACACAUGCAAGUCGAACGGCAGCACAGUAAGAGCUUGCUCUUACGGGUGGCGAGUGGCGGACGGGUGAGGAAUACAUCGGAAUCUACUUUUUCGUGGGGGAUAACGUAGGGAAACUUACGCUAAUACCGCAUACGACCUUCGGGUGAAAGCAGGGGAUCUUCGGACCUUGCGCGAUUGAAUGAGCCGAUGUCGGAUUAGCUAGUUGGCGGGGUAAAGGCCCACCGAGGCGACGAUCCGUAGCUGGUCUGAGAGGAUGAUCAGCCACACUGGAACUGAGACACGGUCCAGACUCCUACGGGAGGCAGCAGUGGGGAAUAUUGGACAAUGGGCGCAAGCCUGAUCCAGCCAUACCGCGUGGGUGAAGAAGGCCUUCGGGUUGUAAAGCCCUUUUGUUGGGAAAGAAAAGCAGCAGGUUAAUACCCCGCUGUUCUGACGGUACCCAAAGAAUAAGCACCGGCUAACUUCGUG
rnacentral:rRNA from 1 species